UACGUAAGGGGGCUAGCGUUGCUCGGAAUGACUGGGCGUAAAGGGCGCGUAGGCGGGCUAACAAGUCUGGGGUGAAAUGCCGCGGCUCAACCGUGGAACUGCCUCAGAUACUGUCGGCCUCGAGGAAGGUAGGGGCAUGCGGAACUGUAGGUGGAGCGGUGAAAUGCGUUGAUAUCUACAGGAACUCCGGUGGCGAAAGCGGCGUGCUGGACCUUUUCUGACGCUGAGGCGCGAAAAGCUAGGGGAGCAAACGGGG
rnacentral:rRNA from 1 species